rnacentral:rRNA from 1 species
AGUGAACGCUGGCGGUAGGCCUAACACAUACAAGUCGAACGGCAGCACAGUAAGAGCUUGCUCUUACGGGUGGCGAGUGGCGGACGGGUGAGGAAUACAUCGGAAUCUACUUUUUCGUGGGGGAUAACGUAGGGAAACUUACGCUAAUACCGCAUACGACCUACGGGUGAAAGCAGGGGAUCUUCGGACCUUGCGCGAUUGAAUGAGCCGAUGUCGGAUUAGCUAGUUGGCGGGGUAAAGGCCCACCAAGGCGACGAUCCGUAGCUGGUCUGAGAGGAUGAUCAGCCACACUGGAACUGAGACACGGUCCAGACUCCUACGGGAGGCAGCAGUGGGGAAUAUUGGACAAUGGGCACAAGCCUGAUCCAGCCAUACCGCGUGGGUGAAGAAGGCCUUCGGGUUGUAAAGCCCUUUUGUUGGGAAAGAAAAGCAGCAGGUUAAUACCCCGCUGUUCUGACGGUACCCAAAGAAUAAGCACCGGCUAACUUCGUG